rnacentral:misc_RNA from 1 species
CUGGCAUUCCUCAACAUGCUUGGAGUAGAUCUACAGCUGAACAGUUGCUCAGGGACUCAUGUUGGGUUGAAGCAUUACAUUCAGAAGCUUUGGAAAUGAGGGAUUUUUCAGUCUUGAUGGUGAAAGCUUGGUGUUUUGAUCCUGAAAAGCUGGUCAGGAAAAUGGAUUUACACAUCUUGGAGGCUGGGAUAGAUGAUCAGGAAAAGAGAUUCUUAACCUAUAAGAUUUCCAUUGAUAUCCUUCCACCGAAGACCCUGCAGAUGGCAUCGGCGACCCCACCACCUCCUCCUCCACCUCCAUCGGGA